rnacentral:lncRNA from 1 species
UGGGAAGCACCUAAGGUUGUCGCCACCCUCAACUACCACCCAAGCACCGAUUGUGACUCAAACACCGAGCGAGCAACCAACCAACAAUGUAAAAAGACAACUUCUGAUGCAAUACAAUUUCUGGUGUCGACACGUCCUGCUUCCAUAGGCAAUGUUACGAUGGUGCCAAAUACUUUAAAAAGUACAUAGAAGCUUCCCUUGACGCUCAAUCCGAUGACCAGCAAGGACCGUGACAAUAAAAUUUGAAACGACCUCAAAUACAAACCCAUCCCCAACAAAUCCCAAACAACUCUG